UUCUCUUCGCAGGAAAGUGGCACAGAGAAAGAAGGUUAUUGGCUGUCCUUGCCAUUGCGGCCACACUAAAUGCUGCCACAGUGGAAAAGACGCUGUCAG